CACUGGACCCCGGCCGCCGUGGUUCCCACCGUGCCUCGUCCCGAGCCAUCGGGGCCGAGCGGCUGUAGCAGGCCAGAGGCAGCGCGUCUGGCAGCGUCGGCCUGCUUCGCCGGCCUAGCCGUGUUGGUGGUGUAAUUUUUCUGUCAGAUCGGGUCUCUCCUUCCUCAGAUUGGAAUGAUGGCCAUUUUUUUUGUUCCAUCUUUGUAGAUAGCAGCUUUCUUCUUCAGAUCGGAUCACACGGCCGAUUUUGUAUGUAUCUUCAGAUCGGCUCUUCUCAUUUACAAUCGGUGAUUGCCCAACGGGGCGACCAGAAGACAAGUGAGCGACAUCGAAUCGUUUUUUCUCAUUUAUUUUUGGACUGCGGGUUAAUUUCAAAGAAACAGAGGGGCUUUUUCGCAAAAACGCCGACGACGUACGACCAGAAGCACUCCGUGCUUUAUUAGUAGGGAAAGGGAAAGAUAGACUAGCAAAAGAGCCCGUGCAUUGCAACGGGACAGAAAAAACACACGCUCUUAACCCAAUAACCACGACUCGAGACCCUCAUAGGUAGACGUUCUUUAUUUUAAAAUGGCAUCACAUUUGUGUCCCCGACGAUGGUCUCAAUGCUCACACAACGAAAACACAUUUGAAUGUGGUCAGUCCUAAGGCGUCUCUUUCUCUCUCACACACGCGCGCGCGCUCGCACGCACACAAUCGGUCAGCAUAAGAUGAGAAAAAUGUUGCUUUUUCCCGCGAGGUUUUUCAGAGUUGUGCAUGUGUGGUUAUCAAUGUUUUUUUCCUCUCUCAAUCUAGUACAAAUGCCCAUGCGUUGCACGGGACGAUAAAUGUGGCAGAACUUAUUUCAUGGGUCCUUUUUUGCCACUUUAUAUAUCUACGGGUCUUGUUUUUUUUAUUCUCAUUUUUUCAUAUGCGGCCAGCACAGUACCAUUGUUGUGGAGAGCGAGAUAAUUUUUGCUGUUGUAUCUUUUCUGAGAAAUACCUAGACUUCUCAGUUAAAAUUGCUAUCUAACUUAUUGAGUUGUAAUAUCUUUGUGGUUUAUUUCUUUUGAAAUUGGACGGUACUUUGUGUUCUCUUAUUUGUCUUAGAUGGAUUGAUCAUGCACGUCGCGCUCCGGAGCGAAAAGUCAGGAUUUAUUGUAGAGUCGGAAUUUGAACCAAAAUUAUGUGGUCAUUUUUUUUUCUUGUCGAAGUUAGAUCAAGC
rnacentral:rRNA from 1 species